rnacentral:rRNA from 1 species
UGGAAUGAUUUAUUCUAUACUUUCAAAUCUCGUUGAUAAUUUUUUUAUUUCAAAUGAAAUAGAAAUGAAUAAUUAAAUAUAACUUUUAACAAUGGAUCUCUUGGCUCUCGCAACGAUGAAGAACGCAGCGAAAUGCGAUAAGUAAUGUGAAUUGCAGAAUUCAGUGAAUCAUCGAAUCUUUGAACGCAUAUUGCGCCCUUUGGUAUCCCGGGGGGCAUGCCUGUUUGAAGGCCGGAAAAGUCGGCUGUAUACCGAGAGGUGUAAAUAUCAACUAUAUAUUUAUACAGUUGUACUGAACCUCUUAUAUAUAAUCGCUUCUGGUUAUGGGUAUCUCUCCGUGCAGGCACAGAGACGCUUGAAAGUAAGACACGAAUUGAAGGGCUUCCAUUUCUGCUGGAAUCAAUAUGUUGGCAUCCUGAACUUAUCAUCGCAAUGAAGAUCUGCAGAUGGGUUGGUCACAUUUUUCGCAGUGGAUACCUUUGUCGUGUCAUUAGUUCCUAAGGAGGUGGAGGCUUGCCUUCCACCCAGUUUUAUACGCUUCAAAUCAGGUAGGAGUACCCGCUGAACUUAAGCAUAUCAAU